rnacentral:lncRNA from 1 species
AAAAUAGAGACAUAUUUGAUGAAAAAGAUGAAAAAUGCUGUUAACUGGAUAUACUAAUGAAUUUAAAUGCCACAGGUUGUUCAAUCCAAAGACUAACAAGCUUGUGAUAUUAAGAUAUUACAGCCUAAAAUUUGAAGGAAAAAACCCAGCACCAAUAUCUAUUAUUCAAGAGUUAUCAUAGCCUCGUUCAAGUCAAAAAGAG